UACGUAGGGGGCAAGCGUUGUCCGGAUUUAUUGGGCGUAAAGAGCGUGUAGGCGGUUUGGUAGGUCCGCUGUGAAACUCGAGGCUCAACCUCGAGACGCCGGUGGAAACCAUCAGGCUAGAGUCCGGAAGAGGAGAGUGGAAUUCCUGGUGUAGCGGUGAAAUGCGCAGAUAUCAGGAAGAACACCCGUGGCUAAGGCGGCUCUCUGGGCAAUAACUGACGCUGAGGAGCGAAAGCGUGGGGAGCGAACAGG
rnacentral:rRNA from 1 species